GAGGGAUGGCUCAGCUGUUAAGAGCACUGGCUACAUAUCCAGAGGUCCUGGGUUGGAUUCCCAGCACCCUCA
rnacentral:tRNA from 1 species